CCGCCCAGCAGGGCCCCCUUCCCGCGCCGAAGGGCGCCGGGCGGUGGUGUCUCCACCAGCGGGUCGUGGCGGGGGCCAAAGCCCUGUCCUCACGUCCACACGUCUGGCCGCCCUUCCCCCGGGCGCUCGCUCGUGGGUUCGACCGUUGCACGUUCCUUGAGCUUCUGUGGCGUUCGGCCUGGAGGAGCUGGGCUGGCCUCCCCUGUACGCAGCCCGAGUCUGUUUGUCAAAUGAAGAUGAUGUGGACUCAGAGCCUGGCGUGGUCACCCACAGCUGUGUGAUCUUGGACAAGUUACUCACCCUCUCUGUUCAUCAGUAUCCUCGUCCGUGAAAGGGAAGUACAGUGAAUGUAAAGUGCUCAGGACAGCAAAGUGCGACCCAGUAUGUGCUUGUGAGGGGAUGGGCAGGUAGAUCCAGUCCCUGCCUGGCCACUCCUUUGGGGAAGCUUGUGUCUUUUAUGACCAAGACAGUGCUCUGUCCUGGCCUCCUUGAGCCUGGAAAUUAAGGCAACUGCCAGGGAGGGCCCAGCGUGGACUUUGGAGUCUCCUAGCCACAUUUCCUAAUAGGCAUUAUCAUGCUGUAUUAAAGUAGAGGUGGGAACCCCAAGAACAGAGGAGGCUGGAAAUGCUGUGAGUGCAUGGCAGACUCGCCCCUCUCUGCACCCUAGGGCACAAGGUGCGUCCUCUUGGCUCCGGCUUGUCAGCAUCCUGGGGCGUUAUUUCUGGACUCCUUGCGUUCUGAGAGCGAGGUUCCUACGCCUGGGAUUCUGCCGUCUGCUAUGCUCUGUGGGCAGACAGGCCCCUUCUGUCAGGCUGGGCUGGGCUUUUGUGGACAGGGACAGCUCUGGGCAGUGGCUUCCCAAGAGGCCUGUCCAUCUGUUCACCUGAUUGCCCUGACUCGUCUGUUUUCUUGUAAUAAGGCUGGGUGGCUCACUCAGCCUCCUGCAAAGGCAUGUGGGCACAGGAGAGGCCUUUUCGAAACUGUGCUUUCCACCCUUGGGAUAAUUUACAUACCACCCAGUUGGAGAAUAAUGGUGGGGCAGGAAGAGAGAGGUCACAUUCUCCAUCCCUAAAGGGCAUAGUUUUCUGGUUCCUGUCACUGGCAGUGGGACACACAGUCACAGAUGCCCUGCUUCCCCCUGACUCCCAUGCCCCAGCACCGGGGUGGCAGGCCCACCAGGGUCCCAUGUGGAUGCAUGGGGACUAUCAGCUCUUUUCCAGGUUUCCAGAAGCCUCGAAAUAUUGUGCAUUUUCCUCCGAUAAGGCCAGAAAGCCUGACUCAAACAUAAAAUGACAACUCAGCUGUACUGAGUUGACUUGUGUCCCCCCUCAAAAGAUAUGUCCGUGUUCUAACUCCUGGUGCUUGUAUGAUUUUAUCUGGAAACAGGGUCACUGCAAAUGUGAUCAGGUGAAGAGGAAGUCAUCCUAGAUUAUGGAGGGGCCCCAAUCCAAUGACAGUGUAUCUUCAUAAGAAGAGAGAAUUUGGAUACGUCAAGUAGGAGAUAGACACAGGGGAAAACAACAUAAUGAAGACGGAUGCAGAGAUGGAGGUGAUGUGUCUACAGCCAAGGAACCUGAGGGUCACCAGAGCCACCAGCAGCCGGGAGAGAGGGGUGGAUUAGAGUCUCCCUCAGAGCCUCAGAAGGGAUCGACCCUGCGGACCGCUUGAGCUGAGACUUGGAUUUCCAGAACUGAGAGAUGGUAACUGCCUGUUGCUCAGGCUGCCUGGUUUGUGGUGCUGUGUUACAGCAGCCGCAAGAAACCCAUACAUCAGGCCGUUCAGAGCUUCUGCUGGGCAGGCGUUCUCUGCCUCUGAUUGGCACGCAACGGCAAGGGAGGUCAUCACUGAUUAAUGCUUGCAACACAGUGUGAUCUGUGAAACCUUUUCCUAAGGUGGUGGGGGGCGGUCCCUGGAGAAAGAAUACUAAAGGGGUCCAGGGUGGAGAAAAGGAGGGACCCAUAACAUACAGUCCUGGAAAAGCACUGCCAGAGCCCCAAACUUACUGCUCCCGGGGGCCUGGGUAUUGGAGAGAAAAUCCCCCUGGUACUGAAGGGCAUCCAGGAGACAACACUUUCUUGUGGCCUGGGGGGGGGGGAGGGUGCGCAGGAAGGAUCCAGGGGCUCUGGAGUCUGACACUUGCUCCUGUCCCUGAUACGUAAACUGGGGUUCCUGCUGCCCAGUCUCUAGAAAGGCAAGGGGUAAAGGGAGAACACUGGGUAGAGGGGGAGGGGCACAAGGAAGCCCUGUCCCCACCCCACCCUCUGGGUGACUGGUGGCACUGGUGGCACCUAUGGUGUUUUUUCCUGUCCUGAAUGACUGUGGCCAGACUCUGGCCCCACUCUACGGAUGCAGAAACUGAGGCCCAGCUCUCACCAUUGCUCUGGAGGCAUGGGAAUCACCACAGAACCAGGGAACCAAGAUUCAGCCUUGUACUGUUGGCCACAGACCGGAUGGCCUGACAUAGGGCACUAGUGGUCCAAGAAGUCAAAGAGGACUCAGUCGGCUGUGCUGGCCCCUGACCAGGGCGCCCAGGAACACACUCCAGUGACUCAGCGGUGACUCAGGAGGAGGCAGCAGAUGCGGAAACCGCUAGUCCUCUCCCGGGUGGUGAUAAGCAGCUGGGGCAUCCGAGCCCCUCUAUCCGGGAGGACCCAGAGCCGGGAACCCAGAAGGCCUCCGCACAGCCGUUCUGUGAAGGCAGGAAGGACAGCCUGGCGGUCCCCAGCUGGGCAGCCCUGAGCCACGAGCCCCCGGAGCAACCCGCCCCACCAGGUGCCCACAUCACAGAGGGGGUGGGAGGGGGUGCUUCAAGGCUCAGAAAUGAGGACACUUGUUCCUAAUCCACACAGACGGCAGACAUAUGGGCCUCGGUUUCCUGUAUGUGAAAUGGGGCUAAAACCAGCCCUACGACCUGGGGAGGUUGCGUGGUGGAGGCCACGCGUGGAAAGCGCAGCGUGAGUCCAUCUUCCGUGCGCGCUCCGUCCACGCUCCGCCCCCGCACCACGCUCCGCCCCCGCGCCACGCUCCGCCCCUACGCCGGGCCUGCUCCGUCCACGCUCCGCCCCCGUUCCACGCUCCGCCCCCCGCGCCGGGCGCGCUCUGUUCACGCUGUGUGCGUGGAAGCCAUUGUCGGGCUUACCCACGACUCCUCCGCCUCGAAGGCCGGAUUUUUUUUCUAUCCUGUGUUUCUGAGUCAGGUUUUGCACGCGGUCUCCGAUGCUCUGUGAGCCUCAGCCUCUCACGGUGAGAAGUCUAUGAGAUGACAGGACGCAGUCGCACCGACAGCCAGGAGGCGGGAACCGCCCGAGGGUCCUUCAGUGGCUGAACGACAGGUGGUACGGCCACGCCAGGGGCGUCAGCCGGCCGCGGAAAGGAACGCAGCACCGGCUCACGCUGCCACGUGGGUGGACGUCGAAAACGUGACACCGAGUGAUGGAAGCCAGACACAAAGGGCCACAUCUCAUGUGCUACCGUUUAUUAGACCCACAAGUAAGAAGACGCUCAUCUUUACCGCGUUAAGAUUAUACCCUAAUCGUGAGAUGGACGUGUACCUAGUACGUAGGCACCAGACGUUACAUCCACCUGGGGCCUGCCUGGCCCGAUGCGCCCCGCGACGGACAGUAAGGUGCAAGGUUUACUCCGGUCAGCCAAACCAGGGGACAGCUCUCACCGUUUCACCAGGCCAGUCAGCAGACGCGGGCCCUUCUGACCCACUCCAAACAAGCGGACUGAGUACUGACCAGAGGAGUGAAAUCAAAUCUGCAAACCCACGGCAGGACUCAUGAGGCGUAGAAGAGAGACAGUGCCCGAACGAACCCAGCCCCCACCCCUGGCAAGCGGACUCCCAGUGUGCACUGCAGAGAGAGAGGCCGGACAGGUCAGCUGCAGGCCUCCCGCUGGCCGGACCGCCAUAGCGCUGCAAGAGACGAGGGGACCCUGGCACUCGGUGAGUGUUUAACGAAUAGGUCAGUUCGUGCACAGCCAUUGGGAAGGAGAAGAAAUCUAAUAAUGGGAAUUCUGCUUCCGGAAACGGGGUACACUCAGUGUUCCCUACUCCUGCAGCCGUGGACACUGUAUGCAAGACAGAUGUAAGAAGGCUCAGAAGGGUGGACAGAAGACAGACUAGGCUGGGGCUCAGGACCCAAGCAGGGACUGCAGAGCCCCCCGGUUUUCCUGCUGCCUCACGUGUCCUAGACGGGAGUGCUGGGGAAGCCAACAGCCUGGACAAGCCCACAGGCACAGACAGGAAAGGGGCACUGGCCAGGCAGAGAAGGCACGGGUGAUAACCGCUCCACCCUCAGGCAAACACAGCAGAACCAGCGGGCCUCACCCCUGCCAGCGAAGGCUGAGCCGGGAGCCAAGCCCCCCACCCCUGCCAGGCUGUAGUGAGGCACGCUGCCUCCUUGCGGGGGGGGGGAGGCGAGGGGUGGUCAGAGGAGGCCUGCUAGAGCAUCAGGACUCUCACUCUCCAGGGGUCAUGAGGCCACAUACACAAAAUAAAGUGCAAGACUUAAAUCCUAACCUACCAAAAAGUACAUUAAAUAUAAAUGACCCAAACCAACCAACUAGGAAGACAGGAAGUGGCAACGUAGAUUAAAAAACACGCCCAACCACAUGUUGUCUAUAAGAACCUCAUUUUAACAUAAUGUGAAAGGAGGUCGAAAGUAAAAGGAUGGAAAGAGAGAUGCCAGCGAAGCAUUAACCAACAAAGGCAGGAGCGGCCACGUUAGCAUCAGACAAAGCAGAAUUCGGAGAACAGAAACGACACGGCGACUCUACAGGCCAAUCCACAGACGAGACAAGAGACCAUAAAUGCGCCCUCGUCAACAAAAGAGGGAACACGGGUGACUAAAGAGGAGGCAGAGCUCCCCCCACAGUGUCACAUACUGCAUCGGUCCACGCAGAGAACAUUGCCAGGAUGCCAGAAUUACAGAGCUGGGGAGAAAAGCCAGUGGCCGCCAGGAGUCAGGGAUGGGGAAUGGGGUGGGAGGCAGGUGUGACCACAAAGGGGCAGCUGGAGGGACAGCAUGCCCGGUGGCGUGGGGCAGCGUGCGCGCAGGGACACGGGUGCACACACGCGGCAACACGGCACGGAACCGGACACGUGCACCAAGUCCACGUCUGCGGCCUGGUUUUGACACUGCGUUGACUGCUGGGGGAGACGGGUGCGGGGGGGCCCCUGUGCCAUCCCCGCCACUCCCUGGGAUGUGCUGCACCCGUGGCCUCUUGCGGGGUGCCGGCCGUGGCACAGAGUACUCCCUGGGGCCCUGUGCUGAUGGGCACACCCGUGUCGCGACUGUGAAACCGUUCCUGUAUUAUCCCCAUUUUUCAACAGGAAACUGAGGCACCACUUGCCACAGAAAAACAACUCUGAAGCUCAGAGUCCUGGAAGUGAAAUUCUCCUCCCCCUGCGUUUAGAAGCCUAGACUGAUUUUUCCCAUACGUCCGUGAUGGGAAGUUUGAAUAAAGUCAGUAUCAUUUUACCCAGAGACCACUUCCAGCUCCAGAAGAUUCCUUUCAAGACUGCUACUGCAGUGAUUAUUCAGAGUUCCAAAUGAGGGCUCUCCCCACAAUAACUCUGACACACAGCUGUCCUCAGGACAGGGAGUGCGAUGCUCCAGCAGCACCUUCACUGCUGGGCAGCUCCCAUGGGGGAGCAAUCUCUGGACGGCCCCUGACAUCGGAGCAUCUUGUCUGGGCCGCCACAGAAGGGCUGCGUCUCAUGCACGGGGGCCCAGACCGGGGGCUCCUCGGGUAAGAUGGCUCGAAGACUCCUCGCCGUGGCCGUGCCCCUGGGCGUGCUGGCUGCCCACGCCCCACCUAACCUCUGGUGCCCAGAUGGGCCAUGGCCCUCCAGAUGCGGAGGAAGUGAACCCUGGCCGCUUCUCCAGGGUCACAAGUAUGCACGUGGAUGCUAAGAGCGGUGUGGCAGCAGUGGUUCCGUCGAAGGCGAUGAGGGUGGCGAUAAUUUAUUCCAGCGCCAUUUACACCAUAAGGAGUAGGAGGUGGCACGGGGCAACAAAAAGAGCCUUGGCCUUGGGAGGCAGGUGGCCUUGGGGGAAGUCCUCAUUCUGCUACUGGUUGACCUGGUCUGAAUCUCGAGGUCAUCACCGGCUAAGAGCCGUAAGCUCCCUCAGACUCCCGUAGAGACCCACUGAGCUAGGGAGCGUGGACUGUCUGGUUACCACCGAAGAGUCCACACGUGGAAGGCUACUGGUAACAAUGACGCCAGUGGCCUCAUCUGAUGCCAGAUCUCUGUGCAGAGGGACUGUGAUGUCAACCCCGUCUUUCCCAUUUUCCGUGCCGUGCUGCUGGAGCAGAGCACACAUGGAAUCUCAACAGUGGAGGCCUCUCCUGCAGCAGGCUCAGGUGGGUCUCCCAGCUUCCAAGGCACGGGGCCAGGGUUUAAACUCAGGUGCUCCUCGAGGCGCCUGGGGGCUCAGUAGGUUAAGCGUGCAACUCUUGAUUUUAGCUCACGUGACGAUCUUGAGGUUUAUGAGUUUGAGCCCCAAGUCGGGCUCCCGUGCUGACGGUGCGGAGCCUGCUUGGGAUUCUCUCUCCCUCUCUCUGUCCCUCCCCCAUCGCACGUGCGCAUGUUCUCUCUCUAAAAGUAAAUAAACUUAAAACAAAACAAAACUCGGGCGUCCCUGCAAAGCUCACGUUCUUUCCAUAUGGACACAUCUCGGCACUGAUCCUGACUUUCCCACCCGUGGUUACGGAAGGCUCUUGUGGUCUAAAACCAACAAAGGACAGACAGAAAUACUACCUUCUUCAGCUCAAUGAUCUCGUCGUACAUGUCUUCCUUCUCUCUGUAGACAGGGGUCCCGGGAGCGUGACCUAGAGGGGGACACGCAAACGUCUGAAAAGAUUAUCUGAAGAGUAGACGGAAUUCUUGGCUGUAUCUUAAGAAAAUCCCGGACGUUUGAUAAAAAAGAAGACCAAAGCAUUUCACCGGUUCAGCUGGACCGUGAUCAUUCCCGGAACAUAAGGAAACCAACACCGACAGUGAGUAGAAGGGUGAAGCAGGAGAGAACGGAAAGGUGUGAACACAGGGCUUGGCUGCAGGAAAAGGAAAGAAGGGGGACAGAAGGAGAAGUGAUACGUUUAGAUUCUAAAUCGCAAACAGAACAAAAAGACAAAGACAGACAAACAGCAGCCCUUCCAGCGCUGACAGAGGGAGGCAGAGAAGCAGACUCGGGUCUCCGAAAUGCACCUGAUAGACCGAGACUCUACAACAUUUAAGCCCAAAGUAGAACUCGGAGCCAGCAGGAAGGGGUCGGCAGGGGGUCAGGGUGACAGGGGCUCACCACGAUCCCUGUGGAGGCCCACGAGAAUAGCCGUGAGAGCCGGGGAGGAGACAUGGGGAGAGACCAGACAGAAGGACGGAGACAGGAUAACAGACCCAGGCUUUCUGGUGAGAUUUGGGGUUUUCACUAUGUGCAACUGUUAUUUCUAGUACUGUCCAUCCAAUAAAUCUCAGCAAGCCUCCGAGUUACAGGGGCAGGCCCGACUGGAGCCUGGGGACACGUCACUGUCACGUUAGGAGGGCAGAGCGGACUUUAGGGGUCCUCGUCCUCUCUCCACGAUCUCGUAGGGACACAGCCAAUACAGGAAGCCCAAAAUCUCACUUUGUCAAAGGACAAAUCCCGAGCUUUCCCUUACUUGUGGCCUCGUCACCGUCAACAUGCUCACCAUUGCUGGCAGAACGCCUGAGAUUGGACCUCUUCACUCUUAAGGCUGCUCUCAGAUAGUCGGGAGUAGUGCUGGGGGGCUGGCCCAUGCCUGCUCCAAGGUCAGGUCUGACUUCAGGGGCUGGGUCAGACUUCCUGGUUUGAACGUGCAUGGAUUUAAUAUGACAGGUACAGACAAACACAACGGAAGGUUUUGCCUCUACUGAUCAAUGCUCAUGGGCUGAAGAAAGCUUAAGACAACCAGCAGACGGUGGCAAUCAGUGAGAUGCUGAUAACAUUUUUUGGCUCUCAAAAAAUAAAGCCCAGAUCCGGAGCAUUUGUCUAUUUCCACGGUAUUAAUAGUCCUAUGAUGUCCAAUUUCAGGCGGCCAGCGUGACAUCGACCGGCUCACCAAAUUCUUAAAAAUUUAACAACUGGCUCUUGCGAGUGCGUAGGAGCUGGGCCAGCAGUGCUGGGACGUCACAAGACUCCAGGGAUAGCGUGUCACACCCGCAAACCGUCAGAAACCACACUUACGUGUGCCGUAAAGAUUAUGAGGCUCAACGUCUUUGAGAAGUUGAAAAGCAACGUCAUGCAAAUAAGUCCUAUUACGAACUCGAUCUUUUAAAAAAAAUUUUUUUUAACGUUUAUUUUACUUUUGAGACAGAGACAGAGCAUGAACGGGGGAGGGUCAGA